CGGAGAGUAGCGCAGCUUGGUAGCGCAUCUGCUUUGGGAGCAGAGGGUCGUAGGUUCGAAUCCUAUCUCUCCGA
rnacentral:tRNA from 1 species